UACGUAGGGGGCAAGCGUUGUCCGGAUUUAUUGGGCGUAAAGAGCGUGUAGGCGGCCAAGCAGGUCCGCUGUGAAAACUCGAGGCUCAACCUCGAGACGUCGGUGGAAACCGUUUGGCUAGAGUCCGGAAGAGGAGAGUGGAAUUCCUGGUGUAGCGGUGAAAUGCGCAGAUAUCAGGAAGAACACCCGUGGCGAAGGCGGCUCUCUAGUACGGUACUGACGCUGAGACGCGAAAGCGUGGGGAGCGAACAGG
rnacentral:rRNA from 1 species